GACGAACGCUGGCGGCGUGCCUAAUACAUGCAAGUCGAACGAACUCUGGUAUUGAUUGGUGCUUGCAUCAUGAUUUACAUUUGAGUGAGUGGCGAACUGGUGAGUAACACGUGGGAAACCUGCCCAGAAGCGGGGGAUAACACCUGGAAACAGAUGCUAAUACCGCAUAACAACUUGGAACGCAUGGUCCGAGCUUGAAAGAUUGCUUCGGCUAUCACUUUUGGAUGGUCCCGCGGCGUAUUAGCUAGAUGGUGGGGUAACGGCUCACCAUGGCAAUGAUACGUAGCCGACCUGAGAGGGUAAUCGGCCACAUUGGGACUGAGACACGGCCCAAACUCCUACGGGAGGCAGCAGUAGGGAAUCUUCCACAAUGGACGAAAGUCUGAUGGAGCAACGCCGCGUGAGUGAAGAAGGGUUUCGGCUCGUAAAACUCUGUUGUUAAAGAAGAACAUAUCUGAGAGUAACUGUUCAGGUAUUGACGGUAUUUAACCAGAAAGCCACGGCUAACUACGUGCCAGCCGCCGCGGUAA
rnacentral:rRNA from 1 species